GUGAGGAAUAUUGGUCAAUGGGCGAGAGCCUGAACCAGCCAAGUCGCGUGAAGGAAGAAGGAUCUAUGGUUCGUAAACUUCUUUUGCAGGGGAAUAAAGUGCGGGACGUGUCCUGUUUUGUAUGUACCCUGAGAAUAAGGAUCGGCUAACUCCGUGCCAGCAGCCGCGGUAAUACGGAGGAUCCGAGCGUUAUCCGGAUUUAUUGGGUUUAAAGGGUGCGUAGGUGGUUUGAUAAGUCAGCGGUGAAAGUUUGCAGCUUAACUGUAAAAAUGCCGUUGAAACUGUCGGACUUGAGUGUAAAUGAGGUAGGCGGAAUGCGUGGUGUAGCGGUGAAAUGCAUAGAUAUCACGCAGAACUCCGAUUGCGAAGACAGCUUACUAAGCUACAACUGACACUGAAGCACGAAAGCGUGGGGAUCAAACAGGAUUAGAAACCCGAGUAGUCC
rnacentral:rRNA from 1 species